rnacentral:rRNA from 1 species
GCAGAGCACUCCUACGGGAGGCAGCAGUGGGGAAUAUUGCACAAUGGGCGCAAGCCUGAUGCAGCAACGCCGCGUGAGUGAAGAAGGCCUUCGGGUUGUAAAACUCUGUCCUAAGGGAAGAAACAAAUGACGGUACCUUAGGAGGAAGCCCCGGCUAACUACGUGCCAGCAGCCGCGGUAAUACGUAGGGGGCAAGCGUUAUCCGGAAUCACUGGGCGUAAAGGGUGCGUAGGUGGCCUGACAAGUCAGGGGUGAAAGGCAUUGGCUCAACCAAUGUAAGCCUUUGAAACUGUUGGGCUUGAGUGCAGGAGAGGUAAGUGGAAUUCCUAGUGUAGAGGUGAAAUUCGUAGAUAUUAGGAGGAACACCAGUGGCGAAGGCGACUUACUGGACUGUAACUGACACUGAGGCACGAAAGCGUGGGUAGCCGAACAGGAUUAGAUACCCUGGUAG